rnacentral:tRNA from 1 species
GCCGGAGUGGCGGAACGGUAGACGCGGGGGACUUAAACUCCCCUGUCCGAGAGGGCGUGUGGGUUCGAGCCCCACCUCCGGCA